rnacentral:lncRNA from 1 species
GGGCUCCACUGCAGGGCCAGCCAGGUCACUCCAGCUUCAACGAGCACCGGGGGUGGUGGGGCUGGGGGGACCAUUCCUGCUGUGUAGUACGUCACUGUCUCACUAAACCCACUCAUUCCAAUAUCGUUUUUAGCAGCUAGUCUAAGCGAGUAUUUUGUGGAAGGAGAAAGUUUGGUGAGCUUAUACUGCUUCAGGUGCCCGUAGUAGCAUUCUUUGAAGGGUCCGUUCUUCC